CGCAGGGCCAGGGGCGCAGGACGAUGACCUAUGAAUUGACAGCCAGUGUUGUAUGGCGCCUGCCUGUCAGUUCUAUAGGCCACAGGCCUG
ensembl:miRNA mir192 microRNA 192